rnacentral:tRNA from 1 species
ACCCUUUAGUGUUAUUGCAUAUAAAUUUUUGAGGUUUAAGGUAAAUAGGGGU